GAUUGAACGCUGGCGGCAUGCCUUACACAUGCAAGUCGAACGGCAGCACGGGGGCAACCCUGGUGGCGAGUGGCGAACGGGUGAGUAACAUAUCGGAACGUGCCCUGGGAGUGGGGGAUAACUAGUCGAAAGAUUAGCUAAUACCGCAUACGAUCUACGGAUGAAAGUGGGGGAUCGCAAGACCUCAUGCUCGUGGAGCGGCCGAUAUCUGAUUAGC
rnacentral:rRNA from 1 species